UUGUACCGAAAUUUAACGUAAAACCAGCAAAGCUCAUGCGUCUGUGUCGGCAAAUGUUAUAUCAAAUUCAUGGAAUAAUUUUAGUUUGUAAAAGCCAUAACAUCUCUAAGUCAAGCUCUUUUUUUUUUGGCAAUAUGAGAAUGCUGCUCCGCCUUCGACCCUCCUUAAUUCCCAACACUCCAUACUACUUACCAUCAAGACUAGCAACUUCGUACCAUCCCGCUAUAAUAUGGUCACGAUAACUUUCUCUAAGCCUACUCAACCAACUAACUACAUCCUAACCAUUCCGACCGAAUCGUGACAAAAUUACAUCUUAACUAUUCCAACCGCAUCAUGACAAAAUAGCUCCCCAAAACCUACCGUUCCAACUUUGCUGCGACAAAAUAGCUUGCCAACUUGGACCCUCUACCAAAUCCAGAAAGCAACAAUCAAAAAUUCCAAAUUUCACGCACAAUAGCUUGCCCAAUAAGGGUGCGCUUUUAGAGCAAGCUCAAUAACCUUAUCGAAUAGUCAAGCCACGUCCUCUGCAGACCAAUAUAAAAAACGGUACAUCAAUUAGUCUCUUCACGAAUUUUAAAAUUAUUUUUUAUUUGCAUGGGACCCACCACGUUCUCCUAGUCCAUCCUCAUCCCCAGCUCCUCCGAACAAGCUUCUGAUGCCCUGACCUC
rnacentral:lncRNA from 1 species